rnacentral:tRNA from 1 species
UGGGGUGUAGCCAAGCGGUUAAGGCACGGGGCUUUGACUCCCGCAUUCGCUGGUUCGAUCCCAGCCACCCCAG